rnacentral:lncRNA from 1 species
AAUUGAAUAUCCGCAGGCUGGGCACAGAAGGUAAAGUGAUGAGUGAUAUCGAUCAUGGCCUAGGGUCUGAAAAGGCCCAGCAGUUGUCCAGUCCCGACCCAGCAGAGGCAGUGUUUCCACAUGGUUAGAUAAGCCCUUUGCUCUCAGCCUGAGAGGGUGGCCUGGAGGGCGGAGCUGCAAGAGCCUGAUAAGAGCCUUGGCAAGGAGGGUCCCCCAGUGUUUAAUGGACCCCUUUCCCUUUGAAAUCGGUCUUUUUGAUCCUUAAGAAGAGGAGCAAGGCUUUUGGAACAAGCUGAGAUUCCACUUUAGAUCCACGUACGUGGCUCAGGCAGAAGCCUCUGAGUCUUAUGGGUCUCUGUGAAUACUGAAGUGAUCCCAGUCACCAAGGGAUGAUGCCUCCCUCUCCAGAGAGCCACUUCACCUCUUCCUCUACGAAUCUCUGGCUGGAUAACAGCAGGGACCUCAUUUUCUUACUGGGGUCCCAAAGCGACUCCUCUUGACUGUGGCAUAGAGUUAUUUCUCCAAACAAGCACACAGCAUUUCCCACGC